AUCAGGAUCCAACGCCACCAACUAGGAGAUCGAACACACACUCAAGGCAACUGCUGAUGAUUGGUUUCAUUAUGAGUCGAGGGGCAGCAGUGGAGUCAGCAAAGGGGGUGGCUAAUGAUGCAGAGCAUAGGCAAGCAACUCACCUUCAACAUGCCAUAGCCUAUGCCAAAGAGAUUGUAACAAGCGUUAAGUGGUGACCGUGAUUUGUAAAGAUUGACAUCUGAGGAUUACUGUCAAGUGUCCAUAUA